rnacentral:misc_RNA from 1 species
GAUGAAAGAACGCAGCGAAAUGCGAUACUUGGUGUGAAUUGCAGAAUCCCGUGAACCAUCGAGUCUUUGAACGCAAGUUGCGCCCGAAGCCAUCAGGUUGAGGGCACGUCUGCCUGGGCGUCACAUAUCGUUGCCCAAUGCCUAUUGCAGUGCAAUAGGAAUUUCUAGGGCGAAUGAUGGCUUCCCGUGAGCGUUGUUGCCUCGCGGUUGGUUGAAAAUCGAGUCCUUGGUAGGGUGUGCCAUGGUAGAUGGUGGUCGAGUUAGAACGAUACCGAUCAUGUGCAUGCUCCCCAAAAUAUGGCCUCUAUGACCCACACGCGUCUUUUGACGCUCAUGACGAGACCUCAGGUCAGGCGGGGCUACCCGCUGAAUUUAAGCAUAUCAAUAAGCGGAGGA